rnacentral:rRNA from 1 species
AUGAGAAAAGAAUAUGGGGGGAUGGGGAUCCCAAAUUUACAGUAUUUAAACAUGUGCUUAAUGGGGUCUUGGAUUAAAAGAUAUAUUUUUAGUGAAGGCUCUCUUUGGAAGAGAGUUAUUGAUUCCAAAUAUAAUACCAAGAGACCUAAUAUUCUUUGCUAUAAUGACCCUCACCCAUCACAAUUCUGGAGAGGGGUGAUGUGGGCUAUGAAAGCAGUUAAACUGGGGUAUAAAUGGUCUGUUGGGAAUGGUAGAUCUAUUAGGUUUGGGGAAGAUAUUUGGUUUGGUAACUCUCCACUUGCCACCCAGUACUGGAAAUUGUAUUGUAUAGUUAAUGAUAAAAACAAGACCAUUGCAGAUACUUGGGAUGGAGGUACUCUAAGGAUUUCGUUUAGAAGGAAUUUUGAUGAGGUGCUAAUGCAACAAUGGUUUGAUAUAGAAUCCAUUGCCAUAUCGAUUACUUUUACUGAUCAGGAAGAUAAUUUGAUUUGGUAAUAUGAGUCUAAAGGCAUCUAUUCUUCUAAGUCUUUGUAUGCUAUUAUUAACUUUAGAGGGGUGCAACCUGUUUACACGCCUGUGGUGUGGAGCUUGAAGGUACCACCCAGAAUACAGGGAUUUCUUUGGUUGUUUUCACAGAAUAAAAUUAUGAGCAGUGAUAACCUAAGGAAAAGAGGCAUACCCAAACCCCUGGAAUGUGUUCACUGUAGUGAAAUAGAAUCAGUUCACCACUUGUUUUUUGACUGUGUGGUUGCUAGAUUAAUGUGGAAAGAGGUAGAGAUUAUUUUUGGUAAAACUUUCCUUUCUUUCUGUGAUUUAGCUGUUUGCUGGCUCUGUGAGAAGAGAUUUGCCCAUUAG